AUACUUACCUGGUUGAGGAAUACCAUGAUCAAGAAGGUGGCUACCCCAAGGUGAGGCAGUUCCAUAGCACAUUUAGGUUGGGCUGACCCCUGUGAUUUCCCCAAAUGUGGGAAACUCAAUUGCAUAAUUUCUGACAGCGGGGGACUGCAUUUGCGCAGAUCCCUG